rnacentral:tRNA from 1 species
CUAUAGCUCAGCUGGUUAGAGCGCACGCCUGAUAAGCGUGAGGUCGAUGGUUCGAGUCCAUUUAGGCCCA